AGGCAGCGUGUUGUGUCCUUCAGCAAGACAAUUAAGACACAUUGCUCUGUGUCGACACCGGUGCCAAGCUGCUUGGGUCCUAGUGCCCUUCCCUUGGACAACAGCGGUGGCGUGGAGAGGGAAAGACCUGCAGCAUGGGCAACUGCCAGCCUUCCAUCCAACCCUGCCCAGGCCUGCACUCUGGAAACCUUCCAAGGUGCAAAUCCAUGGUCUCAUAAGACCAACGGAUGCCAAUGUUGCCAAGGUCAAUCCAGAGAUGAGUUGAGAUGUUUUGCAUCGCAGGUGAUCCUAUACUGUUGCAAACGGCCAACGGCUCACGAGGAGUCAUCCAGCAGAGAUCCAAACAACCUUCACCACUCAGCUGCUGGGCAGCUGUGACAAUUCAUGCUGGAUAAUUUAAACAUGAAACAGACAGUACGGAUUUACAAUGGAACACAGCAGAAGAGGAACUUGAACUCUCCAUUAAAACAAAUUUUCCACCCGAUGACAGGAUAUACCGGUGGUUCCCUGACUGGCAGUGCUGGGAGUCUAAAUCAGCAAAAGAAUUUUCCAUCCUGGCACAUGCUCACGUGCGAUUUUGAAGGACUCCUUGUGGAAAAAGGAAAUGAUUUUUCACAGAUGCCUCAAGUGUUUCCGCUAGGAAAAGUGUCUUUGAACAUGUACCAGAUUCAACUUGCUACAUGCCCAGCAGUCUUCGUUCAAAUGAAUGGGAGAAAUAAUUUUAAUUCUAUGUAUUUAAGGUAGCAUUGAUUUGCCUUGGUUUUUUUUUAAAUGUAGUUGUGCUUUUAAAUUUCUUUAAUGUAAAAAAAUUUAGUAUAGCGCUGAUA